GAUUCCAAUUAUUAUUUGUGUUUCAGCAACAAUCUGCUCUCUGGAAAUUGCUGCAAUGCUUGUCAAAAGUCACUGUUUUAUCCUAUAAUUUUCUACAAGGAGGGUUGAAUAUAGUUAAGUGACCUCUACAAAAACUUCCUCUUUGAAGUGUUCUCUGAAGAGAUCUUCAAGGCAUCUGAGUGCCUCAGAUUGUGAUUUUGUAAGGUUUUGAUGCUAGAAAAUUGUUUAACAAACAGCUCCAAAAUAUUGAGAUUUUGAUUAAUAACAUACAGUGUCAUGGUAUUUAAAUAAUAAAAAGUUUGAAAUCUAACA
rnacentral:lncRNA from 1 species